AGGACGAACGCUGGCGGCGUGCUUAACACAUGCAAGUCGAGCGGAAAGGCCCUUCGGGGUACUCGAGCGGCGAACGGGUGAGUAACACGUGAGUAAUCUGCCCCUAGCUCUGGGAUAGCUCCGGGAAACCGGGAUUAAUACCGGAUACGACCACCUUAGACAUCUUUUGUGGUGGAAAGAAUUUCGGCUAGGGAUGAGCUCGCGGCCUAUCAGCUUGUUGGUGGGGUAACGCCUACCAAGGCGACGACGGGUAGCCGGCCUGAGAGGGCGACCGGCCACACUGGGACUGAGACACGGCCCAGACUCCUACGGGAGGCAGCAGUGGGGAUAUUGCGCAAUGGGCGAAAGCCUGACGCAGCGACGCCGCGUGGGGAUGAAGGCCUUCGGGUUGUAAACCCCUUUCAGCAGGGACGAAGCGAAAGUGACGGUACCUGCAGAAGAAGCGCCGGCUAACUACGCGCCAGCAGCCGC
rnacentral:rRNA from 1 species